GAGCGGAAAGGCCCUUCGGGGUACUCGAGCGGCGAACGGGCUUUUUAACACGUGAGUAAUCUGCCCCUCACUCAGGGAUAACCNUNNGGAAGCUGCGGCUAAUACUUGAUAUGACCACGUCUCGCAUGGGGUGUGGUGGAAAGCGUUUAGUGGUGAGGGAUGUGCUCGCGGCCUAUCAGCUUGUUGGUGAGGUAGUGGCUCACCAAGGCUUCGACGGGUAGCCGGCCUGAGAGGGUGACCGGCCACACUGGGACUGAGACACGGCCCAGACUCCUACGGGAGGCAGCAGUGGGGAAUAUUGGACAAUGGGCGAAAGCCUGAUCCAGCAACGCCGCGUGAGGGAUGACGGCCUUCGGGUUGUAAACCUCUUUCACCUCUGACGAAGCGCAAGUGACGGUAAGGGGAGAAGAAGGACCGGCCAACUACGUGCCAGCAGCCGCGGUAAUACGUAGGGUCCGAGCGUUGUCCGGAAUUAUUGGGCGUAAAGGGCUCGUAGGCGGUUUGUCGCGUCGGGAGUGAAAACCAGGUGCUUAACACCUGGCUUGCUUCCGAUACGGGCAGACUAGAGGUAUGCAGGGGA
rnacentral:rRNA from 1 species